CCUGGUUGAUCCUGCCAGUAGCAUAUGCUUGUCUCAAAGAUUAAGCCAUGCACGUGUAAGUACACACGGCCAGUACAGUGAAACUGCAAAUGGCUCAUUAAAUCAGUUAUGUUUCCUUUGAUCGCUCCAUCUGUUACUUGGAUAACUGUGGUAAUUCUAGAUCUAAUACAUGCUGACAAUCGCUGACCUUCCGGGAUGCCUGCAUUUAUCAGACCAAGACGAAUCCGGGCUCGCCCAGCCGCUUUGGUGACUCUAAAUAAUCUUGGGACGAUCGCACGUCCCCGUGACGAUGCAUUAGGAUGUCUGCCCUAUCAACUUUCGAUGGUACUUUCUGUGCCUACCAUGGUGACCACAGGUAUUGGGGAAUCUUGGUUUGGUUCUGGCGAGGGAGCCUGAGAAACGGCUACCACAUCCAAGGAAUGCAGCAGGUGCGCAAAUUUCGAGGCACUGUAAUUGGAAUGAGUACACUUCAAAUCCUUUAGCGAGUACCGAUUGGAGGGCAAGUCUGGUGCCAGCAGCCGCGGUAAUACCAGCUCCAAUAGUGCAUAUUAAAGUUGGUGCAGUUAAAAAGCUUGUAAUUCGAUCUUGGGAUCGAGCUGGCGGACCCCCGCAAGGCGAGCCACUGCCUGUUCCAGCCCCUCCCUCUCGGCGCCCCCUUGAUGUUCUGAAUGGAGUGUCCUGGGGGUCCAAAGCAUUUACUUUGAACAAAUUAGAGGGUUCAAAGCAGGCCGGUCGCCUGAAUACUUCAGCUAGAAACAAUGGAAUAUGACUCUGCUUCUAUUUUGUUGGUUUUCGGAACUGGGGCCAUGAUUAAGAGGGACGGCCGGGGGCAUUCGUAUUGUACCGCUACAGGUGAAAUUCUUGGACCGUUGCAAGACGAACCAAAGCGAAAGCAUUAGCCAAGAAUGUUUUUAUUAAUCAAGAACGAAAGUCUGAGGUUCGAAGACGAUGCAAUACCAUAAUAGUUCCGACCAUAAACGAUUCAGACUAGCGUUCUGGGGCGUUAUUCCGAUGACCCGCCAAGCAGCUUCCGGGAAACCAAAAUCUUUGUGUUCCGGGGGGAAUAUGGUUGCAAAGCUGAGACUUGAAGGAAUUGACGGAAGGGCACCACCAGGAGUGGAGCCUGUGGCUUAAUUUGAAUCAACACAGGAAACCUCAACCGAUACAGAAACGAUUGACAUAUUGAUAGCUCUUUCUCAAUUAUGUGGGUGGUGGUGCAUGCCCCUUCUUAGUUGGUGGAGCGAUUUGUCUGAUUUAAUUCCGAUAACGAACGAGGCUCCUCCAUGCUAACUAGUUACGUGACCCCCAGCGGUUGGCGUUCGACUUCUUAGAGGGACAAGUAGUGUUCAGCCACACGAGAUUGAACAAUAACAGGUCUGUGAUGCCCUUAGAUGUCUGGGGCUGCACGCGCGAUACACUGAACGGAUCAGCGUGUGUCUACCCUUCGUCGACAGGUGCAGCUAACCCGCUGAACCCCUUUCCUGAUAGGGAUUGGGGAUUACAAUUAUUUCCCAUGAACGAGAAUUGCCAUUAAGUGCGGGUCAUAAGCUUGCGUUAAGUCCCUGCCCUUUGUACACACCGCCCGUCGCUACUACCGAUUGGAUGGUUUAGUGAGGUCCUCGGAUCAGCCCCGCCGGGGUCGGCAACGGCCCUGGUGGAGCGGCAAGAAGACUAUCAAACUUGAUUAUCUAGAGGAAGUAAAAGUCGUACGGGUUGGGUUAACCUGCCGGGG
rnacentral:rRNA from 1 species